GCACUCACUUCAGUAGCACACAUACUAAAAUUGGAACAAUGCAGUAAGAUUUUCAUGGCUCUGUGUAAGGCUGGCAUGCAAACCUGUGAAGUGUUCCCUAUUUUU
ensembl:snRNA U6 U6 spliceosomal RNA